rnacentral:rRNA from 1 species
UACGGGGGGAGCAAGCGUUGUUCGGAUUUACUGGGCGUAAAGAGCGCGCAGGCGGCUUGGCAAGUCGGGUGUGAAAUCCCGGGGCUCAACCCCGUGACUGCAUUCGAUACUGUCAGGCUAGAGGUAGGUAGGGGAGAUCGGAAUUCCUGGUGUAGCGGUGAAAUGCGCAGAUAUCAGGAGGAACACCGAUUGCGAAGGCAGCUCGCUGGAACGUUACUGACGCUGAGACGCGAAAGCGUGGGGAGCAAACAGG